rnacentral:rRNA from 1 species
CUGCUGCCUUCCGUAGGAGUCUGGGCCGUNUCUCAGUCCCAAUGUGGCCGGUCCAACCUCUCAGUCCGGCUACUGAUCGUCGCUUGGUGGGCCGUUACCC